UCGGGAAUUUUGGGCAAUGGGGGAAACCCUGACCCAGCAACGCCGCGUGAAGGAUGAAGUAUUUCGGUAUGUAAACUUCGAAAGAAUAGGAAGAAUAAAUGACGGUACUAUUUAUAAGGUCCGGCUAACUACGUGCCAGCAGCCGCGGUAAUACGUAGGGACCAAGCGUUGUUCGGAUUUACUGGGCGUAAAGGGCGCGUAGGCGGCAUGACAAGUCACUUGUGAAAUCUCUGGGCUUAACCCAGAACGGCCAAGUGAUACUGUCGCGCUAGAGCGCAGAGGGGGCAAUCGGAAUUCUUGGUGUAGCGGUGAAAUGCGUAGAUAUCAAGAGGAACACCUGAGGCGAAGGCGAGUUGCUAGGCUGACACUGACGCUGAGGUACGAAAGCUAGGGGAGCGAACGGGAUUAGAUACCCGCGUAGUCCCUGAGCGGGCUGGCAAGGCGCAU
rnacentral:rRNA from 1 species